rnacentral:sRNA from 1 species
UACUCGUAGAGCUGCUGCACCGAGUCGAAGUGGGGGUGGAUGUCGAUCAGACCCGGUGUGACGAUUUGGCCUUCGACCGACAGGAUGUCGGUGUUGGGACCGAUGAUCAGGCCGGGGGUGAUCUCCAUAACGUCGGGAUUGCCGGCCUUGCCGAUGCCGACGAUUUUGCCGUCGAGGAUGCCGAUGUCGCAUUUGAUCACGCCCAGCAGGGGGUCGAUCACCACGGCGUUGGUCACCACCAUGUCCAGUGCGCCGUCGGACCUCUUGAACCGGGACACCUGUCCCAUACCGUCACGGAU